AACAACAACAACAACAACAUGAAUGUUAUGAAAUAUUAGAUGGCUUGUGGACAAGUAUAAUUUGAUUUGGAACUGAACCACAAAAAAGCUGUGCUGUUCUGCUGCUGUUCUGCAAAGCAUGGAUGGUAGGACUCAGACCUAUCUAAAGACUGAGUUUAAUUUUGUGUUCAUAAGGCACUUUGAAUAUCUCCAAUAUCCCUUGCUCUGCUCUCAGGUAACAGCAAUAGGUCCCAAGGGAAUGGCAUGGAGUUGCACUGCAUGAUGGUCAGGCUGGGUGGUAGGGAAAUAUUCUUCACCAGAGGGCAGUAGGCAUGGAACAGGCUUCUCCAGACAGUAGGCAGAGCCUCAAGCUGCCGGAGUUCAAGAAGCACUUGGACGACGCUCUCGGACAAAGGGUUUGAAUUUGCAUGUCUCAAUCUACCUUACACAGCUAAAUAGCCAAAUACAAUUUCAAGCCAAGCAUUCUCCUGCAUUGUCUCUCCUGAGGAGUCUCAUCUGCUGUUGUGUCCAGAAUAUGCAGUGUGGUUUAUAAACUUGCACAAUGGUUAGGGCACUGUACCAGAGGUAGGUGAAAGACUUUUGGUUCCCUUUUCCUCCUUGUCUGAGACAAGCUGGAAGGACAGGAGUGAUAACCAGAAGUGAAAACAGUUCAAGGCAGAAUGAGAGUGAGCAAAGAUUUCGAGUGUUCAGGGUACUGCCUGGGUUUGUCAAUCCUUCAUUGCCAUUUCUGUAGCUGUUAAGAAAAUUCAGAGGGCCACAAAAAUGAUUCAAGGGAUGGAACACCUCCCCUACCAUGACAGGCUGAGAGAGCUCCGGGGCUGUUCAGUCUGAAAAAGAGAAGGCUCGGGGGAGACCUGAGAGUGGCCAUUCGGUAUCUAAAGGGGAGCUCUAAGAAGGAAGGGGGCAGACUCUUUAGCAAGGUCUGUUGCGAUUGGACAAGGGGAAAUGGCUUCAAACUAAAAGAGAGGAAGUUUAGGUUGUAUAUAAGGAAGAAGUUUUUUAUGAUACGGGUGGGGAAGCACUGGCACAAGUUGCCCAGAGAGGUGGUGGAUGCCCAUCCCUGGAGACAGUCAAGGAAACAGAACAGCAAAUUCUUCUGGGAGAUGUAGUUCUUCCUCUCUUCUGAGAACCAGGCACCCAGAAAUAUUGCCAA
ensembl:lncRNA